AGAAUCAACGCUGGCGGCGUGCCUAACACAUGCAAGUCGCACGAGAAAGGGACUUCGGUCCUGAGUAAAGUGGCGCACGGGUGAGUAACACGUGAAUCAUCUACCUCCGAAUGGGGAAUAACUGAGAGAAAUCUUAGCUAAUACCGCAUAAUACCUACGGGUCAAAGCAGUAAUGCGUUUGGAGAGGAGUUCGCGGUCGAUUAGCUAGUUGGCGGGGUAAUGGCCCACCAAGGCGAUGAUCGAUAUCCGGCCUGAGAGGGCGCACGGACACACUGGAACUGAAACACGGUCCAGACUCCUACGGGAGGCAGCAGUGGGGAAUAUUGCGCAAUGGGCGAAAGCCUGACGCAGCGACGCCGCGUGAGGGAUGAAGGCCUUCGGGUUGUAAACCUCUUUCAGCAGGGACGAAGGCGAAAGUGACGGUACCUGCAGAAGAAGCACCGGCUAACUACGUGCCAGCAGCCGC
rnacentral:rRNA from 1 species